UAGAAGACGGGCUGCGGGAUUUGUCAAAGCCUCAUCAGGGAACCUUCUAGCAGAUUUUGACAAGCAAUUCGCUCCCAAUUCUUUAGCAGUCAGCUUCCAUCCUCAGUGUAUCAUCAGUGAGAAUGGCUUCAUUAGACUUCUGCUGUCACUCACAGCUGCUUUUUUUCCUCUCUCUCUCCAUACUGCAACAGGCAGGAAGUAUCAAAAUGCCUUCUUCAUUAACGGAGCCGUUCGGCAGUUACCCCUCUAUGGUAAACGGCUCCCCCCUCUGGCAGAAGCUCCAAUUGACCCACAUUCGCCCAAUUACAGCUCCUUCUUCGUCUCCUCUCGGCGCGUUUUGAAACUCAGAAGCAAGAGCUGGAAGCAGAGUUCAUGAUGAACAUCUGAUCUUCUACAGCAUCACACUAAACAGUCUGAAGAAAAAUUAUGUUAGGAAAUUACAAUUUAUUGGAAUAAUAAAGAGAAAACUUUACAUAUUUCUCUCUAAUCAAGUUUUAUUGAAGAAAGUCAAAGAGACAGAACAGCAGAUAUUUAUGUCUGUGAUCUAAAUCUAAAAAUUGAGAAGAAAACAUCAGUUCA